AGCUAAGUCAACUGCUUUUCUUCAAAUUCAGAUUUAAUCCGUGAGCGAAAUGAGUCACUGGCUCAUCCAGUUAAGAUCAUCACCCACUUUCCUAACAAAACUUCUCUUCAAAGAAGGACUCGCUCAUCCAUCAGGUGGACCUCCACAGGAACAAAUAAUAUCCAUGUCAGGCGGCACCAAACCUAAAUCUGCUUCUGCCUCAGCAGACAGGACAUGUUGAGUUUGCCCAGUGAGUGCUGCAGGAUACUGGCGGGAGGACAAGAGAGAGGAAGUUCACCUACAUGUCUAUGUUCAGAAGCUGCCUUGAUGCCACAUGAGGGAGACUGGAAACGCUGAAGGAUGACCACUGCUCAGCAGCAGUCAACCAGUGAUGGAUGAGAUUUGGUGCACAAAUACCCCAGCUCCCUUGCCUCUCAGUUUGGAUAAUCCUGAAAAGGUAUGUACUACACUAUUUCUUCUGAGAUUAGGCCCUAGUUACCCAUAGUGGUAGCUAAAUAUAGUAGUUGGCUGUAUUCUCUAUCACUUCUUGAAUCCCCUGCCGGUGUUCUCUGCACCUCCUUAAUAAACCACUUGAAACAAAAAUCAA
rnacentral:lncRNA from 1 species